AUUGAACGCUGGCGGCAUGCCUUACACAUGCAAGUCGAACGGCAGCACGGGAGCAAUCCUGGUGGCGAGUGGCGAACGGGUGAGUAAAGUGUCGGAACGUGCCCAGUCGUGGGGGAUAACGUAGCGACAGUUACGCUAAUACCGCAUACGAGCUAUGGAUGAAAGCGGGGGAUUGCCAGACCUUGCGUGAUUGGAGCGGCCGAUAUCAGAUUAGGUAGUUGGGGGGGUAAAGGCUCACCAAGCCGACGAUCUGUAGCUGGUCUGAGAGGACGACCAGCCACACUGGACUGUGACACGGCCUAGACUCCUACGGGAGGCAGCAGUGGGGAAUUUUGGACAUUGGGCGAAAGCCUGAUCCAGCCAUGCCGCGUGCAGGAUGAAGGCCUUCGGGUUGUAAACUGCUUUUGUACGGAACGAAAAGGUUUGGGCUAAUAAGCUGAGCUCAUGACGGUACCGUAAGAAUAAGCACCGGCUAACUACGUGCCAGCCGCCGCCGUAA
rnacentral:rRNA from 1 species